UACAGAGGUCCCAAGCGUUGUUCGGAUUUACUGGGCGUAAAGGGUGCGUAGGCGGUGAGGAAAGUUCGGGGUGAAAUCUCCAGGCUCAACUUGGAAACUGCCUUGAAUACUUCCUCGCUAGAGGGUCGCAGAGGAGAUUGGAAUUCUCGGUGUAGCAGUGAAAUGCGUAGAUAUCGAGAGGAACAUCAGUGGCGAAAGCGAAUCUCUGGGCGACAUCUGACGCUGAGGCACGAAAGCCAGGGGAGCAAACGGG
rnacentral:rRNA from 1 species